GACGAACGCUGGCGGCGUGCUUAACACAUGCAAGUCGAACGAAGUGGCGAACGGGUGAGUAACGCGUAAUCAACCUGCCCUUCAGAGGGGGACAACAGUUGGAAACGACUGCUAAUACCGCAUACUGAAGGAGGGGAUUGCGUCUGAUUAGCUAGUUGGGGGGGUAACGGCCCACCAAGGCGAUGAUCAGGAGGCGGGCUGGGAGUAAGGACCGCCCCAUUUGGACUUGUGCAAGGGCCAGACUCCUUCGGGAAGGAGCAAUGGGGGAACGUCCGGAAUUGACGGAAGUCUUGCGGCGAAACGGCGCGUGAGUGAUGAGGGCCUUCGGGUUGUAAAGCUCUGUUAAUCGGGACGCGGUACCGGAAUAGGAAGCCACGGCUAACUACGUGCCAGCAGCCGCGGUAAUUC
rnacentral:rRNA from 1 species